GGCAGUGUAUCAUAGUGGUAAGGAGCAGGACUUGUAACCGAAAGGUUGCCGGUUCGAUUCCUCACUGGGUCACUGCUG